rnacentral:lncRNA from 1 species
GAGGCGGUUGAGUGAGACGAGACGCGCCCCUCCCACGCGGGGAAGGGCGCCCGCCUGGUCCGGCGAGCGCACGUCCGGUGCUCCCCUCUGGCGGAAAUACUAGGCUUUAGAAUUUCACCAUAUGAAUUUUGGGAGAGAGGAGCACAGUUCAGCCCAUAACUAACACACGACGGAAUGAAGUUGAUAAUAGUGAGACCUUGUUGGUACAAGACUAUGUAACAUAACCUGCGCUUCUCAACAAAGAAUUGCUUUUCUGACUUCUGCACUCAGUUCUUUCCUCCAGCUCACUUUAUUGUAAGAACCUUGGUGUCUGUAAUCGGCUCGGAACCCUUGCUGCUCUUUCACUGAAUAUCGCUGUCUGGAGGUUACUUGGUACACUGGUCGACAAAACCUUGAAAUGUUGAUGUUUAAGGGCUGUUGAUUGCUGGCAGCAAAGAAGUCCAACUGUGCUGGUACCCGAGAUAGCGUCUCCACAUUUUCUUCCAGGAUCAUCACCUUUGUUCUAAAUAGCUCCCACAUAGUGUGAACAGAAGUCAUAUGUUUUAGAUUUUCUGCCUUGGCACCCAGGAAACCAGUAUGAUUGAGUAAACAUAUUAAACUUCCUCUGCAUUUCCAGCCUGAACAGAUGUUGAGUACAAGCUGAUCCACCUACGUUCAACCUGAGAGAGUCCACAUCCACAGACUGUUUCAUUUCCCUUUUUCAAUUUACAUAGAAGCAUAGAUUCUUGCUGGCAUAUACAAAUGCGCCAUUUAAGGCAAUCAAAAAUGGUUCCACAUCUCAUCUGAUUUCCACAAUUGUUGCUGUAACGAUGGACUACUGAGGAGAGAGACAAUUUCUCUGGCACAUCUUCCCACAUUUUAGCAACAUGUUCAUGGAGAGCCAAUAUUCAGUAAUUACAGCCCAAUUCCUCACAAUUUCACAAUUCGCUAACAAUAUGCAUUUUCACAAUGUAAAGCUGAUUUUCCUUUAACCAAAUCAAACAUGAAAAGAUAGCUGCAUGCAAUGGGCAAUCUAGAUCAUUAGAAGAUUGAUGUAAAAUUAGAGGACACUGAGACUGGAAUAGAUUGCAAACUUCAGGGAGCUCAGAAAACUUGUAAACUCUACAUUUUGAGGAAAUAUGUUGUCGAUGCUUUUGCAACUCUAUGCAGUAACUUAACAAAUAAAGCCUUAAAGUAACU